rnacentral:piRNA from 1 species
UGCAAGGGCACAUGCCGAGAGGGCAGU